AAAAAGUCAAACUCUAGAUUUCCGUACCAACAUUUGACUGUCCGUCUUAUAUGAGAUUUUUUUAUAAUUAGUAUUUUUAUUAUUGUUAGAUGAUAAAACAUAAUUAAUACUUUAUGCGUAACUUAUCUUUUUAAUUUUUUUUCAUAAUUUUUUCAAAUAAGACGGACGGUCAAACGUUAGACACGGAAAUUAGGGUUUGUCUUUUU
rfam:Oryza sativa Japonica Group DNA, chromosome 3, cultivar: Nipponbare, complete sequence.